CAUCUCAGGACGCCUGAGAGACCCACACUGCUAUACAUUGGAAGGCGGACAGACUCCCCUCCUGGAGGAGGUGGAGAUAGGUGAAAACUCUCCGACCCUGACCCCUGAACAGCCUAGUACCUGCAAGCGGCUUUCUUUCAGCGGACGCCCCCAGAACAUUGCCACACACCAAGGGCAGGAGGGAGCAAACACCAGAGGAGCGACAGUGGAAACAGCUAGAGAGCACAGAAGAACCUGAACUGGCCUCUGUUCCUGCUGAUGUGAACACCUGGUGGACUAAGCGCAGAAGAUGGAGGAACGACAGGGCAUGGUGUCCACGACAAGGAAGACGUCACUCUGCCUCUUCUCCUGCUUCUCCAGGGAUGUGAUGACCUUCAGGAAAAAACCUCUGUGGAUAUCUGUCACCAGGUGAAGAGAGAAAAGGAUACUCUGUAGUCUCAAGGACCACAACUCCAGACGGUCAACACCUCGAGACCUCCCC
rnacentral:lncRNA from 1 species